UACGUAGGGUGCGAGCGUUAAUCGGAAUUACUGGGCGUAAAGCGUGCGCAGGCGGUUCGUUGUGUCGGCGGUGAAAGCCCCGGGCUUAACCUGGGAAUGGCCGUCGAAACUGGCGAACUGGAGUGUGGCAGAGGGGGGUGGAAUUCCGCGUGUAGCAGUGAAAUGCGUAGAGAUCGGGAGGAACACCAGAGGCGAAGGCGGCGACCUGGACAGGUACUGACACUCAACUACGAAAGCGUGGGGAGCAAACAGG
rnacentral:rRNA from 1 species